rnacentral:rRNA from 1 species
GACGAACGCUGGCGGCGUGCCUAAUACAUGCCAGUAGAACGCUGAAGGAGGAGCUUGCUUCUCUGGAUGAGUUGCGAACGGGUGAGUAACGCGUAGGUAACCUGCCUGGUAGCGGGGGAUAACUAUUGGAAACGAUAGCUAAUACCGCAUAAUAGUAGAUGUUGCAUGACAUUUGCUUAAAAGGUGCAAUUGCAUCACUACCAGAUGGACCUGCGUUGUAUUAGCUAGUUGGUGAGGUAACGGCUCACCAAGGCGACGAUACAUAGCCGACCUGAGAGGGUGAUCGGCCACACUGGGACUGAGACACGGCCCAGACUCCUACGGGAGGCAGCAGUAGGGAAUCUUCGGCAAUGGACGGAAGUCUGACCGAGCAACGCCGCGUGAGUGAAGAAGGUUUUCGGAUCGUAAAGCUCUGUUGUAAGAGAAGAACGAGGGUGAGAGUGGAAAGUUCACACUGUGACGGUAUCUUACCAGAAAGGGACGGCUAACUACGUG